GUCUAUGGCCAUACCACCCCCAAUCUAACACGCCCAAUCUCAUCUAAUCUUGGAAGCUAAGCAGGGUCAGGCCUGUUUAAUAUUUGGAUGGGAGACAGCCUGGGAAUAUUGGAUGCUAUAGGCU
rnacentral:rRNA from 1 species